rnacentral:rRNA from 1 species
CCUACGGGGGGCUGCAGUGGGGAAUAUUGGACAAUGGGCGAAAGCCUGAUCCAGCCAUGCCGCGUGUGUGAAGAAGGCCUUCGGGUUGUAAAGCACUUUCAGUGGGGAAGAAAGCCUUGGGGCUAAUACCCUCGAGGAAGGACAUCACCCACAGAAGAAGCACCGGCUAACUCCGUGCCAGCAGCCGCGGUAAUACGGAGGGUGCGAGCGUUAAUCGGAAUUACUGGGCGUAAAGCGCGCGUAGGCGGUCUGAUAAGCCGGUUGUGAAAGCCCCGGGCUCAACCUGGGAACGGCAUCCGGAACUGUCAGACUAGAGUGCAGGAGAGGAAGGUAGAAUUCCCGGUGUAGCGGUGAAAUGCGUAGAGAUCGGGAGGAAUACCGGUGGCGAAAGCAGCCUUCUGGACUGACACUGACGCUGAGAUGCGAAAGCGUGGGUAGCAAACAGGAUUAGAUACCCUGGUAGUC